GAGCGUGGUCGCGAAGAUCCUGGUAAACCUCGCCAUCGCGGCGCUGUUGUUCUGGGCCUUCGGGUUCGCGCUGGCCUUCGGCUCGGGCAACGCGCUCGUUGGCACCGAGGGCUGGUUCCUCGCUGUGCCGGCAGGACAGGUCAAUGACAUCUACGCCGGGCUAGCCUGGACGCAGGUCCCGCUCUCGGCCAAGUUCCUCUUCCAGGUCGCGUUCUGCGCCGUCUCGCUGGCCAUCGUGUGGGGCACGAUGCUGGAGCGGACCAAGUUCGCCGUCUACGUGAUCUUCGCCAUCGUCUUUGCGGGCUUGAUCUACCCGAUGGUGGGGCAC
rnacentral:misc_RNA from 1 species